rnacentral:tRNA from 1 species
GGGCUUGUUUGACCCCAGAAAGGGCUCAUAACCGGGCGGUCCCAGGUUCGAUCCCUGGUGGGCCCACCA